UACGUAGGGGGCAAACGUUAUCCGGAAUUACUGGGUGUAAAGGGAGCGUAGACGGUAAUGUAAGUCUGGAGUGAAAGGCGGGGGCCCAACCCCCGGACUGCUCUGGAAACUAUGUUACUAGAGUGCAGGAGAGGUAAGCGGAAUUCCUAGUGUAGCGGUGAAAUGCGUAGAUAUUAGGAGGAACACCAGUGGCGAAGGCGGCUUACUGGACUGUAGCUGACGUUGAGGCUCGAAAGCGUGGGGAGCAAACAGG
rnacentral:rRNA from 1 species